CUAUGCGCCUUGCCAGCCCGCUCAGGUGUGCCAGCCGCCGCGGUAAUACGGAGGAUGCGAGCGUUAUCCGGAUUUAUUGGGUUUAAAGGGUGCGUAGGCGGAAUAUCAAGUCAGCGGUAAAAAUUCGGGGCUCAACCCCGUCGUGCCGUUGAAACUGAUGUUCUUGAGUGGGCGAGAAGUAUGCGGAAUGCGUGGUGUAGCGGUGAAAUGCAUAGAUAUCACGCAGAACUCCGAUUGCGAAGGCAGCAUACCGGCGCCCAACUGACGCUGAAGCACGAAAGCGUGGGUAUCGAACAGG
rnacentral:rRNA from 1 species